rnacentral:misc_RNA from 1 species
GAUGAAGAACGCAGCGAAAUGCGAUAAGUAAUGCGAAUUGCAGAAUUCAGUGAGUCAUCGAAUCUUUGAACGCACAUUGCGCCCUGUGGUAUUCCGCAGGGCAUGCCUGUUCGAGCGUCAUUUCGACCCUCAAGCUCUGCUUGGUGUUGGGCCCUGCCCGCUGCGGCCGGCCCUAAAGACAGUGGCGGUGCCGCCUGGCCCUGAGCGUAGUACAUCUCUCGCUCCAGUGCCCGGUGGUAGCCUGCCAGAACCCCAACUCUCGUGGUUGACCUCGGAUCAGGUAGGGAUACCCGCUGAACUUAAGCAUAUCAAUAAGCGGAGGA